UACAUGGGGUGCAAACGUUGCUCGGAAUCAUUGGGCGUAAAGCGCGCGUAGGCGGUUACUUAAGUUGGAUGUGAAAGCCCUCGGCUUAACCGAGGAAGUGCAUCCAAAACUGAGUAGCUAGAGUACGAAAGAGGGUCGCGGAAUUCCCGGUGUAGAGGUGAAAUUCGUAGAUAUCGGGAGGAACACCGGCGGCGAAGGCGGCACUCUGGGCUGGAACUGACGCUGAGGAGCGAAAGCGUGGGGAGCGAACAGG
rnacentral:rRNA from 1 species